GCUCGGCUAGCUCAAUUGGCUAGAGCGUGCGGCUUUUACGACAUUGUCUGAUCACCGCAAGGUUGCGAGUUCGACCCUCGCGUCGAGCU